rnacentral:rRNA from 1 species
AACGAACGCUGGCGGCAGGCUUAACACAUGCAAGUCGAACGCCCCGCAAGGGGAGUGGCAGACGGGUGAGUAACGCGUGGGAACAUACCCUUUCCUGCGGAAUAGCUCCGGGAAACUGGAAUUAAUAACGCAUACGCCCUACGGGGGAAAGAUUUAUCGGGGAAGGAUUGGCCCGCGUUGUAUCAGCUAGUUGGUGGGGUAAAGGCCUACCAAGGCGACGAUACAUAGCUGGUCUGAGAGGAUGAUCAGCCACAUUGGGACUAGGAAACGGCCCAAACUCCUACGGGAGGCAGCAGUGGGGAAUAUUGGACAAUGGGGGCAAGCCUGAUCCAGCCAUGCCGCGUGAGUGAUGAAGGCCUUAGGGUUGUAAAGCUCUUUCACCGGAGAAGAUAAUGACGGUAUCCGGAGAAGAAGCCCCGGCUAACUUCGUGCCAGCCGCCGCCGUAAAAC